AACGAACGCUGGCGGCAGGCUUAACACAUGCAAGUCGAACGCAUCCUUCGGGGUGAGUGGCAGACGGGUGAGUAACGCGUGGGAACGUGCCCUUCAGUUCGGGAUAACCCAGGGAAACUUGGGCUAAUACCGGAUACGUGCGAGAGCAGAAAGAUUUAUCGCUGAAGGAUCGGCCCGCGUCUGAUUAGCUAGUUGGUGGGGUAAUGGCCCACCAAGGCGACGAUCAGUAGCUGGUCUGAGAGGAUGAUCAGCCACACUGGGACUGAGACACGGCCCAAACUCCUACGGGAGGCAGCAGUGGGGAAUAUUGGACAAUGGGCGCAAGCCUGAUCCAGCCAUGCCACGUGAGUGAUGAAGGCCUUAGGGUUGUAAAGCUCUUUCGUCCGGGACGAUAAUGACGGUACCGGAAGAAGAAGCCCCGGCUAACUUCGUGCCAGCCGCCGCAGUAA
rnacentral:rRNA from 1 species